CGGCGGACGGGUGAGUAAUGCCUAGGAAUCUGCCUGGUAGUGGGGGACAACGUUUCGAAAGGAACGCUAAUACCGCAUACGUCCUACGGGAGAAAGCAGGGGACCUUCGGGCCUUGCGCUAUCAGAUGAGCCUAGGUCGGAUUAGCUAGUUGGUGAGGUAAUGGCUCACCAAGGCGACGAUCCGUAACUGGUAUGAGAGGAUGAUCAGUCACACUGGAACUGAGACACGGUCCAGACUCCUACGGGAGGCAGCAGAC
rnacentral:rRNA from 1 species